GCUAGCUAAUAAAUACGAUAACCAUUGGUUUUUUUUAACACAAACCUAACAUGCUUUGGAACAGUAUAUUGUUACUGUUGGCGUUGUCGCAAGGCUACAGCGCAAGGCUCACCUACUUCACUCGUCCAGGCAAAACUGACCAAUUCUCUGAUGAUUAUUACUACGAAAGAAAUCUAUACGACAGUAGUGAAAGUGAUUACGACGCUGCUGACGUCCGCGUUACCGUACCUAUUAUAGUCUUAUUAGAAAAAACCAAAGCAUCACGAGUACCUAAAGAAGAGUCAAAAUCGUUUGAAUCCAUUUAUGAAAGAAAAUUCGGGAAAAAACCUGGAAUGUUGAGCAAGAAGAGAUCCAAACACCGUCUGAAGUCGUUAUUUAGAACUCUUAGGAACCUCGGUACAGAAGACUUUUAAUGUAAUCCUAUAAUUUCAACUUAUCACAAAUUUUAUAUGUGUUAAAUUUUGAUUAAGAUGCGUGACGCCUGACAAGACUCUGAUGGUCACAUUGAAGCCAAUCGCUUUCAAUAAAUUUUUCUUUGAAAAUA